rnacentral:rRNA from 1 species
GGAAAGGCCCUUUCGGGGGCACUCGAGCGGCGAACGGGUGAGUAACACGUGAGUAAUCUGCCUCUGGCUUCGGGAUAGCCACCGGAAACGGUGAUUAAUACCGGAUACGACACAUCACUGCAUGGUGCGUGUGUGGAAAGUUUUUUCGGCCAGGGAUGUGCUCGCGGCCUAUCAGCUUGUUGGUGGGGUAAUGGCCUACCAAGGCUUCGACGGGUAGCCGGCCUGAGAGGGUGACCGGCCACACUGGGACUGAGACACGGCCCAGACUCCUACGGGAGGCAGCAGUGGGGAAUAUUGGACAAUGGGCGGAAGCCUGAUCCAGCAACGCCGCGUGAGGGAUGACGGCCUUCGGGUUGUAAACCUCUUUCAGCACAGACGAAGCGCAAGUGACGGUAUGUGCAGAAGAAGGACCGGCCAACUACGUGCCAGCAGCCGCGGUAAUACGUAGGGUCCGAGCGUUGUCCGGAAUUAUUGGGCGUAAAGGGCUCGUAGGCGGUUUGUCGCGUCGGGAGUGAAAACACCGGGCUUAACUCGGUGCUUGCUUUCGAUACGGGCAGACUAGAGGCAUUCAGGGGAGAACGGAAUUCCUGGUGUAGCGGUGAAAUGCGCAGAUAUCAGGAGGAACACCGGUGGCGAAGGCGGUUCUCUGGGAAUGUCCUGACGCUGAGGAGCGAAA